CAGUUGAAGGCGCCACCAAGCCAUUUGUCUACUUCAUUUUCACUCUCUUCCUUUUCAGUUGGGCAUUUUCACUCUCUAUCUUCUUCAUCACAGGGAUAAAGAUGUCGGAAUUCAGCCAUGGAAAUAAAGGAUCAGUCCAGUACCAUUGAAGAAUUUAAUGAGAUCGGUAUUUGAAGGCUUUUCAGAUUAAAAUGAAGAGCAAUUGAGGCAACUCAAUCAAAUGAAGAUUGUGUACGAGUAUGGUGAGGAGGAGCCCAAGUCCUCCUUUCAAAUCAUCUACCACAAAGAUGAUUUGAAGGAGCUAAAGAGGCUUGGAAGCGAAGAAAAGAAGAAGGCUGCUGAGGGAGAUGACAGGGAGAAGGAGGAGGAUCAAAGGAGAAUGGGGAGAAGAAGAUGAAGAUCGUAUAUGAAUACGAUGAGACGCAGCCCAAAGUCCUACUUUGAAAUCAGUUACCAUGAAGAUGUGAAGGCUUGGGGAUGAGAAACCCACUGAUGAAAACAAGGAUGAGAGCAAGAAAGAGGGCAAUGGGGAUUAAUUGAGAUCACUACCAGAGCUUUCAAUAAUUUUUAGUAAUUUUCUAGUUUUACAUUAUUUUGAUGAAUUGUCGGAUCGUAUGAACUCAUUUGAUGAUGCGACUGGUUGUAGCAAUUCUUGCAAAUUGAAUGUGGCUUCUGUUACUU